rnacentral:rRNA from 1 species
AUACGGAGGGUGCGAGCGUUAAUCGGAAUUACUGGGCGUAAAGGGUGCGUAGGCGGCUUGAUAAGUCGGAUGUGAAAGCCCCGGGCUUAACCUGGGAAUUGCAUUCGAUACUGUCAGGCUAGAGUAUGUCAGAGGUUGGCGGAAUUCCUGGUGUAGCGGUGAAAUGCGUAGAUAUCAGGAGGAACACCAGUGGCGAAGGCGGCUAACUGGGGCAAUACUGACGCUGAGGCACGAAAGCGUGGGGAGCAAACAGGAUUUGAAACCCCGGUAGUCC